rnacentral:lncRNA from 1 species
UCAACCUGUGAACAAGGUAAACCCGAUGGAAUGGGAACCAAAAAACAGGAGGGUACCGCAUUGGGCAGAAGACGAUCAAAAAAGCGAAGGCUCACCCUUCAAAGCGCGGCGUGAGAUAGGCGACAUGUAGCUUGCUUCCAAGCCGGCCUGGCCCGGCCACAAAGAAUCGAUAGAUCUUUGCCGGAGCUGACUUGGAUCUCAGGUGACAAAAUAAGGCGACCAGAAGCAGCAAGUAACUGUGGUCGAAGCUUGGCUCUAGCCGAUAGGCUAGCAGUAAGCUUGGCUACAGCGAAGCGCUAUCGCAUAUAUUUCCAUUUAGAAGUCUCCCAUAUAAAUUCAAGUCGCCCAUAUUUCCCCAUUUCUUCUCCCUAGCUUUCAAACCUUCUUUUUCAUUUUUCCAUACCUUCUUUUCUGUAUCUCGCAAAUAAGAUAUUGAGUUUCUAAGAACCCUUAUUAUGCAUGUCUCGUGGAUCGAUGUUCCACAUAUAUACUCGACUUUCAUUCUGUAGGAGACCAACUUUUUAAAAUUACUGCCUACGGAAGAGCAAUUUGCUCUAACCAAACCCACUCAAUCAAGUAAAUCAACAAAAGGACAACGAUGAAGACUUUCCUUCCUUUUUUCUACGAUCUAGUUAUCAACAAUAAUAUCUAAUUGGGCAUAACAUCAGAUAAAAGGAAACUCUUAGUGGACAAGGAGGAAAAGGGAGAAGAUCUAAC